ACCAGAUCUGUUUCCAUUUUGCUUAAUUCUUGCUCGAAUUAUCUAGACUAUGGAUUUAUAACUAAAAGCAAUAUUUUGAACAAUGUACUGAAAACAUUCUAAUCUUUGGCAAGUUACCAGAGAGACUUUUGUAAAUCAGGAUAUUUGGAUGGACCACAUCCUGCAGAGAAACCUUCUUGAAGCUGACAGACAUAUCACCACUUAACUGCUAAUUGAUCACUGAUGUCUGCUUUGUUUAAAUACUUGUUUUACUGGAAACACUAUGUAACUUUAUAUUAUUGAUCUUAUCCUGCCUUACUAUUAGCAUCUAUCCAGGGGAUCCGGGAUCUUCCCCUCUCCCAUCACUUUGAUCUGCCCAUUGAGCAUCCUAUAUAACCAGUUGUAACCUAUUGUUUGGCAGUGUUCACUGAGCUUAGCGAGUGACACUCCACCCAGCGCU